CCUUUUACUUUGAGUUCCUUCCUUCAUAGUCAAAUCGGAUGAUAUGCUUUGGAGAUGUUACCUACUAAAUAAAAAGGGGCCAAAGAAAGAUUGGCCCUCGAGUACAAAGGUAGAAGGGAUCUCGACUGCAACACCCAUCCAUGAGAAGGGACGAAAGUCAGCCUUAGUAAUCUAACAGUAUCGAGUGUAAGGGCUAUAGCUCAAUGGAUAAAAGUUACUCUAGGGAUAAUAAGUUGAUGUUCCCCAAGAGCUCACAUCGAUAGGAAGGUUUAGCAUCUCGAUGUCGGCUUUUUGCCAUCUGGGGCUGUAGUAUGUUCCAAGGGUUAGGUUAUUCGCCCAUUAAAGUGGUACAUCAGCUGGGUUUAGAACAUCAUGAGAUAAAUC
rnacentral:ncRNA from 1 species